UCACAAACACAUUUGGAAUAGUCCCUGAAGGAAAACAAAAACAAACAACAAAAAGCAAAGUUAUAAUUCAAGAGUGCUUUGCGAAAUAAAGGACUUGAAUCUUUAUCCUGGACAAAGAAACUGACCGUCAAUGAAAAUAAUGGCAGAACACACAGAUGUCUGUCUUGGAGUUUACCCUAGUGACAUUACUGAAUACCAGGUUAGAACCUUCCCUGGUAACUAGGCUGAAUUUCAGCUGCAGACUUGGAAUGCCAGAGAAUGUCAUAUAUUUGGGGAGAUGGAGUAGACUCCUAGG